rnacentral:rRNA from 1 species
CCCUUAGAUGUUCUGGGCCGCACGCGCGCUACACUGAUGCAUUCAACAAGCCUAGCCUUGACCGAGAGGUCCGGGUAAUCUUUGAAACUGCAUCGUGAUGGGGCUAGAUUAUUGCAAUUAUUAAUCUUCAACGAGGAAUGCCUAGUAAGCGUGAUUCAUCAAAUCGCGUUGAUUACGUCCCUGCCCUUUGUACACACCGCCCGUCGCUCCUACCGAUUGAAUGUUUCGGUGAAGAUUCCGGAUAGGACUGAUUUGAUUUAUUUCAUUUCUGACCUAAAAGCUAUCUAAACCUCAACAUUUAGAGGAAGGUGAAGUCGUAACA